GGAGAGAUGGCCGAGCUGGCUGAAGGCGGCACCCUGCUAAGGUGUUGUACUCGUUAGGGUACCGAGGGUUCGAAUCCCUCUCUCUCCGCCA
rnacentral:tRNA from 1 species